UAACCCGCAAGGGAGGCAUCUUACCACGGUAUGAUUUAUGAUUGGGGUGAAGUCGUAACAAGGUAGCUGUAGGUGAACCUGCAGAAGGAUCA
rnacentral:rRNA from 1 species